UACGGGGGGGGCAAGCGUUGUUCGGAGUUACUGGGCGUAAAGGGUGUGUAGGCGGUUUGGUAAGUGGGAUGUGAAAGCCCCGGCUCACCCGGGGAUCUGCAUUCCAAACUGCCAGACUUGAGUAUGGGAGAGGACAGGGGAAUUCCUGGUGGUAGCGGUGAAAUGCGUAGAUAUCAGGAGGAACACCGGUGGCGAAGGCGGCAUCCUGGACCAAUUCUGACACUGAGGAGCGAAAGCCAGGGGAGCAAACGGGGA
rnacentral:rRNA from 1 species